UGGGUAUAAUACCCGAUAGGUCUCGAUUGCUGGAAUGCAUCGAGAUUUAAAGCUCCGGCGCCUAAGGAUGGGUCUGCGGCCUAUCAGGUAGUAGUGGGUGUAGCGUACCUACUAGCCUACGACGGGUACGGGUUGUGAGAGCAAGAGCCCGGGAGAUGGAUUCUGAGACACGAAUCCAGGCCCUACGGGGUGCAGCAGGCGCGAAAACUUUACAAUGCUGGCCACAGCCAUAAGGGAACCUCGAGUGCCAGGUUACAAAUCUUGCUGUCGAGGUGCCUAAAAAGCAUUUCAUAGGAAGGGCCGGGCAAGGCCCGUGCCCACCCCCGCGGUAACACCGGCGGCUCGAGUGGUAACCGUUUUUAUUGGGUCUAAAGGGUCUGUAGCCCGCCGGAUAAGUCUCUUGAGAAAUCUGGCAGCUUAACUGUUCAGGUUUCAGGAGAUACUGUCUGGCUCGAGGCCGGGAGAGGUGAGAAGUACUUCGGGGGUAGGGGUGAAAUCUUGUAAUCCUUGAAAGGCCACCAGUGGCGAAGGCGUCUCACCAGAACGGACCUGACCGCAAGGGACGAAAGCUAGGGGCACGAACCCAAUUAGAUACCCGGGUUGUCCUUGGAGUAAACGAUGCUCGCUAGGUGUCCGGCGCGGUGCGACCGUUGUCGGUGCCGUAGGGAAGCCGUGAACCGAGCCACCUGGGAAGUACCUGCGCAAGGCUCAAACUUAAAGGAAUUGGCGGGGG
rnacentral:rRNA from 1 species